rnacentral:misc_RNA from 1 species
UCCCCCGUGAGGGGGCAGUCUCGCCUGACAUAUUUAACAGACAACGGGGGUUGCGUUCGUUACCCCACUGAAGGGAACAGCUCAAGCCACGAACUGACGACAACCAUGCAUCACCUGUGCAACACCCUCGAAGGCUCUCGUCCUUUCGGUCGAGAUGCAGUUGCAUUUCUAGCCCUGGUAAGGUUCUUCGCUUACCGACGAAUUAAGCCACAUGAUCCACUGCUUGUGCGAGUCCCCGUCUAUUCCUUUGAGUUUUAAGCUUGCGCUCGUACUACCCAGGCGGCUCGCUUACCGCGUUAGCUUAGUCCCGCAGAGGGUCGAUACUCCGCAGAACGAGCGAGCAGCGUUUAGGGCUAGGACUA